AGAGUUUGAUCCUGGCUCAGGAUGAACGCUAGCGACAGGCUUAACACAUGCAAGUCGAGGGGCAGCAUGAUUUGUAGCAAUACAGAUUGAUGGCGACCGGCGCACGGGUGAGUAACGCGUAUGCAACUUACCUAUCAGAGGGGGAUAGCCCGGCGAAAGUCGGAUUAAUACCCCAUAAAACAGGGGUCCCGCAUGGGAAUAUUUGUUAAAGAUUCAUCGCUGAUAGAUAGGCAUGCGUUCCAUUAGGCAGUUGGCGGGGUAACGGCCCACCAAACCGACGAUGGAUAGGGGUUCUGAGAGGAAGGUCCCCCACAUUGGUACUGAGACACGGACCAAACUCCUACGGGAGGCAGCAGUGAGGAAUAUUGGUCAAUGGCCGAGAGGCUGAACCAGCCAAGUCGCGUGAAGGAAGAAGGAUCUAUGGUUUGUAAACUUCUUUUAUAGGGGAAUAAAGUGGAGGACGUGUCCUUUUUUGUAUGUACCCUAUGAAUAAGCAUCGGCUAACUCCGUGCCAGCAGCCGCGGUAAUACGGAGGAUGCGAGCGUUAUCCGGAUUUAUUGGGUUUAAAGGGUGCGUAGGUGGUGAUUUAAGUCAGCGGUGAAAGUUUGUGGCUCAACCAUAAAAUUGCCGUUGAAACUGGGUUACUUGAGUGUGUUUGAGGUAGGCGGAAUGCGUGGUGUAGCGGUGAAAUGCAUAGAUAUCACGCAGAACUCCGAUUGCGAAGGCAGCUUACUAAACCAUAACUGACACUGAAGCACGAAAGCGUGGGGAUCAAACAGGAUUAGAUACCCUGGUAGUCCACGCAGUAAACGAUGAUUACUAGGAGUUUGCGAUACAAUGUAAGCUCUACAGCGAAAGCGUUAAGUAAUCCACCUGGGGAGUACGCCGGCAACGGUGAAACUCAAAGGAAUUGACGGGGGCCCGCACAAGCGGAGGAACAUGUGGUUUAAUUCGAUGAUACGCGAGGAACCUUACCCGGGCUUAAAUUGCAACUGACUGAACCGGAAACGGUUCUUUCUUCGGACAGUUGUGAAGGUGCUGCAUGGUUGUCGUCAGCUCGUGCCG
rnacentral:rRNA from 1 species